rnacentral:rRNA from 1 species
CACGUAGUUAGCCGUGGCUUUCUGAUUAGGUACCGUCAAGACGUGCACAGUUACUUACACACUUGUUCUUCCCUAAUAACAGAGUUUUACGAUCCGAAGACCUUCAUCACUCACGCGGCGUUGCUCCGUCAGGCUUUCGCCCCAUUGCGGAAGAUUCCCUACUGCUGCCUCCCGUAGGAGUCUGGACCGUGUCUCAGUUCCAGUGUGGCCGAUCACCCUCUCAGGUCGGCUACGCAUCGUUGCCUUGGUAAGCCGUUACCUUACCAACUAGCUAAUACGGCGCGGGUCCAUCUAUAAGUGAUAGCAAAACCAUCUUUCACUUUAGAACCAUGCGGUUCUAAAUGUUAUCCGGCAUUAGCCCCGGUUUCCCGGAGUUAUUCCAGUCUUAUAGGUAGGUUACCCAGUGUUACUCACCCGUCCGCCGCUAACGUCAAAGGAGCAAGCUCCUCAUCUGUUCGCUCGACUUGCAUGUAUUAGCACGCCGCCAGCGUUUCAUCCUGACGCCGAAGGAUAC